AUCCAUGUGUGGACUCGGGAA
rnacentral:piRNA from 1 species